UCUCCCGUGGCUAAGUGGUUUAAGGCGUCGUACUUAUAUUUGAAGAUAUGCGAAUAUCGCGGGUUCGAACCCCGCCGGGAGAA